AACGAACGCUGGCGGCAUGCCUAACACAUGCAAGUCGAACGAGACCUUCGGGUCUAGUGGCGCACGGGUGCGUAACGCGUGGGAACCUGCCCUUAGGUUCGGAAUAACUCCCCGAAAGGGGUGCUAAUACCGGAUAAUGUCUUCGGACCAAAGAUUUAUCGCCUUUGGAUGGGCCCGCGUUGGAUUAGCUAGUUGGUAGGGUAAAAGCCUACCAAGGCGACGAUCCAUAGCUGGUCUGAGAGGAUGAUCAGCCACACUGGGACUGAGACACGGCCCAGACUCCUACGGGAGGCAGCAGUGGGGAAUAGUGGAAAAUGGGCGAAAGCCUGAUCCAGCAAUGCCGGGUGAGUGAUGAAGGCCUUAGGGUUGUAAAGCUCUUUUACCCGGGAUGAUAAUGACAGUACCGGGAGAAUAAGCUCCGGCUAACUCCGUG
rnacentral:rRNA from 1 species